UCUCUUGGGACAGGUAGUGCGGCAGUGUUGGGCUACCCUGAAGCUGGCAUUUGGAGAGAACACAAAGAGAUGCCUGAGGAUUCCAGCUGCUCUAGUGUUCCCAGUCCAGGGUCCAGACAUCCAUGGGCUAACUGCAGAUGAUUCCAUCCCCCGCCUGCCAGCCCCCUGCUGAUGCUGAAUGGAGCUGAGUGGAGCAGAGAGGAGCUGUCUCCACUGGGCCCUGGCCAGACUGUAGAUUCAUGAGCCAAACAAACAGGGCCAGUUGCUUUAGGACACAAAGUGUUGGAGUGGUUGGCUAUGCAGCAGCAGAUAACUAGAUCAACUGCCAUAUCUGUGUGGAGGACACUGAAUGAAAAUGGCAAACCCCAUCUUUCCAAAGGGUAAAAGAAUGAGAACUACCAGUUCAAACAGUAUGGCUUCUUUAAGCCAUACUGUGUUUCACCCCAAAAGAAGCAAGCAGCAUCCCUGAAAAUUGAAUUCGAUUUUAGAAUUCAAGUACAUUUUUCCACCAACCAACAAUGCUGCUGAGUGAAUAUGCUUAUAAAU
rnacentral:lncRNA from 1 species